UUACAAAUCCAUAAGUGUUCUGUUCCAUUUCAUUCUAUAUAAUUCUAGCCAACUGCUUAAAUUUAAGUGCUAUGCAUAUUCUUCUGGACGAUGAUUGAAGUGUUCCUGAACAACAUUAAUAUGUGAUGUACAUAUUUGAUUGAUGGUCAAAGUUUUUGUUCAUUUUUUUCUCUCUUGGUAGAGGGCUUCUGACGAAUGGACUUCGUUGGUUGUUGCUCUUACGCUUGA
rnacentral:lncRNA from 1 species